rnacentral:snoRNA from 1 species
UCCCUCUCAGGGUUGCACCUGGAGAGUUUUCAGUACUCUACCAGUCUCUGCUACGGGAGGGAAACUCAAGCAGAGGCCUAUCCAUUCCAUUCCUAGCUUGGCCAGUGGCUAGCAAGUAGCAGGCAAUCUGCUCCAAGU